rnacentral:rRNA from 1 species
GACGAACGCUGGCGGCGUGCUUAACACAUGCAAGUCGAACGGUAAGGCCCUUCGGGGUACACGAGUGGCGAACGGGUGAGUAACACGUGGGUGAUCUGCCCUGCACUUCGGGAUAAGCCUGGGAAACUGGGUCUAAUACCGGAUAGGACCCUGGGAUGCAUGUCCUGGGGUGGAAAGCUUUUGCGGUGUGGGAUGGGCCCGCGGCCUAUCAGCUUGUUGGUGGGGUGAUGGCCUACCAAGGCGACGACGGGUAGCCGGCCUGAGAGGGUGACCGGCCACACGGGGACUGAGAUACGGCCCAGAGUCCUACGGGAGGCAGCAGUGGGGAAUAUUGCACAAUGGUCGCAAGCCUGAUGCAGCGACGGCGCGUGAGGGAUGACGGCCUUCGGGUUGUAAACCUCUUUCAGCACCGACGAAGCGCAAGUGACGGUAGGUGCAGAAGAAGGACCGGCCAACUACGUGCCAGCCGCCGCGGUAA